AGAGUUUGAUCAUGGCUCAGAUUGAACGCUGGCGGCAGGCUUAACACAUGCAAGUCGAGCGGUAACAGGGGAAGCUUGCUUCCCGCUGACGAGCGGCGGACGGGUGAGUAAUGCUUAGGAAUCUGCCCAGUAGUGGGGGAUAGCCCGGGGAAACCCGGAUUAAUACCGCAUACGUCCUACGGGAGAAAGCAGGGGAUCUUCGGACCUUGCGCUAUUGGAUGAGCCUAAGUCGGAUUAGCUAGUUGGUGGGGUAAAGGCCUACCAAGGCGACGAUCCGUAGCUGGUCUGAGAGGAUGAUCAGCCACAUCGGGACUGAGACACGGCCCGAACUCCUACGGAAGGCAGCAGUGGGGAAUAUUGGACAAUGGGGGCAACCCUGAUCCAGCCAUGCCGCGUGUGUGAAGAAGGCUUUCGGGUUGUAAAGCACUUUCAGUAGGGAGGAAAACCUUAUGGUUAAUACCCAUGAGGCUUGACGUUACCUACAGAAGAAGCACCGGCUAACUCCGUGCCAGCAGCCGCGGUAAUACGGAGGGUGCAAGCGUUAAUCGGAAUUACUGGGCGUAAAGCGCGCGUAGGUGGUUUGGUAAGCGAGAUGUGAAAGCCCCGGGCUUAACCUGGGAACGGCAUUUCGAACUGUCAGACUAGAGUGUGGUAGAGGGUAGUGGAAUUUCCUGUGUAGCGGUGAAAUGCGUAGAUAUAGGAAGGAACACCAGUGGCGAAGGCGGCUACCUGGACCAACACUGACACUGAGGU
rnacentral:rRNA from 1 species